UUUGCAGCAUAGAACAAGGCAGCUUUCUUACCUUGCACUGUGCCGGUCACAAACCUAACAGAUUAUACUUAGAAAUGCCUUAAGAGUGCUUUAGCGAGUAUUUGGGAUUUUAUCGUGCGGAUUUAAGAAGCUGUUUUGUGCAGUUCGAUUUGAACUCCAACAUUUAAUGAAAGAAAUAUUGCAGAGACGUGAGCAAUUGCAACACGGUCAGAGCUCGUGGAAGGGCAGUUGUCCUCUACAUUGUGCCUUAUAAUUAAGAAGCUGCUACAUGCCUACAAUGUGCGGACUGCCCUGGUUCACCUUAAUUAGCAUCUGUGGAAAAAAUCCUUGGCUUCUCUAGCAACAAGACUGUUUCAGCAAGAAUGACCAGGACACCUGGGAGCAAAAGAAAGGUGGAUGAGGAGCUCAUGGUGAAAUAUUUCACAGGCACCUGAAGGCUGAAGUCUCGUAGAAGACUUGCAACAUAUGGAACAGUUAGCUGGUGGGCAGACCACAGGAAGCCCGGUGAUUUGCAGACAACCUGCAUGUUCUCCAGCAGUGGCAAGGUCGUCAGCUGCCAAGCCCACCCUACCGACCGCCUAGAACUGAGGUGAAUUUGCCUAAGAUGGAAGGUGUUCCUACUGUAAGAAGCACUUGGAAGAUGCGUAUCUCCUUAACAACUCAGGCCUUGCUAUGAACCAACUUACCUAUGCCAAAGCAAUCUAUGUUUUCUAGCCUUGCCACCUCUCUUAACUGAAAGGAAAUCAAAGAAAGACAUGCAUUAAUGAAAACAAAUUACAAAGGCUCAAAAGCAAAUAUUAUCCCUGCUGAGAGUAAGGAAUGUCCACAACAUUACUGUCCACAUUUGGGAAAAGGAGGACAUGCCAAAGGACAUCAAGGACACUCUAAUUAUGACUACAUGCAAAAAAGGAGAAUGAUCCAAAUGCUUAACUACAGAGAGAUCUUCCUUCAGUCACGCCACAAAGGAAGUCGCUAUCAGGAUUCUCCUCAAUCACCUUUUCUCAAAGAACUUUGCCCAAGUUAUAUCCAUCUAGAAACAAAGUCAAUUUAAUUUUCACCACAUGGCAACUCCAAGUGAAAUUCAAAGAAUAUCGACCAUUGUACUUGGUCCUUUUUCAGAUUUCACUAGAACUGUAUUGGACUGUGGGGCAUUGUCUUCAAAUUCAACAGCCUGAAGAAACUUGUCCUGAUACUCACUAGAUUCUGGAAAAUAUAUUGUACUAUGAUUUAACAUAAUUUUAAAAAUAAUUUAAAACGUGUUUGGGAUGAAUAGUAUCCAAUAAACUGGAAAAUCCACCAGUCCAGCUCUACAGAAGUCCCAAAACUGCUAGUUUAUUGGACCUUUACUGUACAGCAAACAGAUUUUGUGCCUCCACAAAAUCCUCCAAAUUCAGUGGAGCCAGUGUUGGCAGCAUUGGCAUCAUUAGAUUGGUUCUGUUGGACAAGUCCUAAUGUACACAUGGAUUAACAGCUUCCUAAAGAAAAAACACUUUGUUCUGAGCACUGGUGUGGAAGAGAUGACCAGAUGGACAGAAAGCAAAAACAAAUGAAUGUUCCCAACGUUUCUUGGGGGAAAAAGUCAACAUCCUCACUGACUUCUGUGAACCCUGGUCCAUAACCACUUACAAUGCAGAAUGAACAUUUGUGAAAAUUUAGUUCACAUGAAUGGAAAGCAUGGGGGCUAAAUGGAACCACCCAAAGGAAAACACCACCUUGCAAACUACCUACUUGUCAGGCACCUCCUGCCUCAAAUGUGAUUGAGUUUACAAGUAGCAUAUUGGCCUCGUUGCUACCUCAGAAACCAUGGAACUGGUGUUACCUUUGAUCCCAACAAACCACAUCGUAAAAAUGUGUUGACAAGUAGACUCAUCAUGCUGUGGUAAAACCAUAAGACAUUGGAGCAGAAUUCAGCCCAUCAAGUCUGCUCUGCCAUUCAAUCAUGGCUGAUUUAUUUUCCUUCUCAACCCUAUCCUCCUGCCUUAUUUCUGUAACUUUUGAUGCUAUUACUAAUUAAGAACCUAUCGUCCUCCAAUUUAAAUAUAAUUUGAUGAGAAGAAUUGUGAAGAAUUUCAAUUCUUCAGUAAGUAAGAAAAUUUAAUGUAUAUUUAAAAUCAGGCAGAGAUCUGUGUGUCUCUCCAGGAUUUCAGAAAGGAUUUUUUUUUCAUAGUUGGUUGGAAAACACCUCUACAAAUGAAUGACACUGUAUAAAAGGCAUUUCCUUCUGUUUAUUUUUAAACGUCAUAAAAUAAAGUCAUCCCAAACCACA